UUAUCAGAAUUUUACAUUCCAAAGGAGAACAGAUUUGGUGAAAGCAUUAACAUGUUAUUUAAGAAGAAUGUUAUUUCAAAGCUGAACAACAAAAUGAAUGCAACUCAGAAGGAACUAUUCAAACGAACAUGCUUCGGGCAAUUCUUCGAAAUGAGAGAGAUGCGCCUACGACAUCAAGUUAUUCACAAGUUUUUAUUGAUGGAAGUGCGACAAUCCACUCAUGUCGAGAUGUGGUUUAAAGUUGCCGGUAAACAUCUGAUGUUUUCUGUUGAGGAGUUCGCACUCGCUAGCGGGUUGGCAUGCCAAGGUGAUGAUAACACCAAUGUGUUCAAAAUUGGUCAUAGCCGAAUCAAACAUUUGCUCUUCAAACACAAAAAGAAUGUGUACAUGAAAGAUGUUGAAAAUACAUUCAACAACUUGACAGCCGCAACUUCAGACGAAGACGUUGUCAGGCUUGGUGCUCUAUACCUGAUUUCAAGCUUCCCGUACACUACCACAAGUGCAAAUGUUGUGCCACAUGAAUAUUUUCGGAACUACAAAUCACCAUACCCAUACAUUUUCGCGGGGAAAGGAAUUGUUCCAAAUUACAUACAUGUACUUGAAGCUUGCACUUGCCAAAACGAACCCAAAGCUUGAGGAUCCCAAAGGAAUAUUGUCAUACAGACUACAUGGUUUUCCUCUAGCCUUUCACAUAUGGAUAUAUGAGUCCAUUCCAUCUUUGACUGGGAAAGUUUAUACAAGAGUCGGCCAUAAGUCCCCUCGCAUUCUAAAUUGGAGCACUGAUGAUUCUCGUGUAUUUGCAGCAUACCUUGAUAAGAUUCUAUUUGAAGUGGAUGAGUUGUGAAGUUCCAACCUACCAACGAGGAACAAAGGGCUGCUUAUUACCAAGGGUUACCACAAAGGGAGCGCAUUACAAUGCCAUCAACACUUGCUGCCGAGGCUGACCUUGUGAAUGAUCCAGUUCACCAACCAAAAGACCACAAUCAUGCAAGCUCUUCUAAUCCAUAGUUCAUGCCAUGCAUGCACCAGGCGGCUUAAGGCACAUCAGGAUUGAGAGAGCCACCCAUAAUUCCAGUCCUGGAGCAUCUCAUGAAUGAAAUGCUCGAGAUUCAAGCAUCACAAGCUCAGAUUAUGGAUUCCUAAAAUGUGCUAAAGGUGGAGGUUAAUCGUAUUGAACAAGAUGUGGAAACAAACUACACGUCACUCUGACAAUAUUUGUAAGGGCGAAGAAGCAUCAAUUGCAUGAUAAAGACGAACUUGAUCAUAUUGACGAUCAUUCAAAUGAAGCACGGACAACUAAUAAUAAGUUAGAUUUUUACAUAUUAGUAUAUCAAAUAUCGUCACAUUAAGGUAAUGCUCAACCACCAAUAUAUUUUUCCGUAGCAUGCCGAUUUUGGGGAGAAAUCAAAUACCCCGACCAUUGAUAGAAUGGUUUGCAAGGAACUUAAAUAGUCAUCACAAAAUCAGAGCGAUUUACGCCAUGAUGAAUGCAAUCCCGCCACAUCCAUUGCCUAACUGCUGUUAUUAAGGAACAAAUACACCGAGGAGGAUCUUAUUGAAGUGGAUGAGAUAAUAAAGAGUGCUACGUCAUUGAAAUUGAAAUCUGCAUAUUAGGUUGAUGGUGACGAGACACAUCAUGUGAGUGAUGAAUUUGGCAAAGACAUCCUUGUUCAGGAACUAUUCCCUAAUGAGGUGUCAAACCAGUUAAUCAAUACUUCUAACCAGCAAGAAGGGAGCUUUAUCGAAGUUAUUCCUGAUACAGCUGUGGUGAUCACACUCACAGUGACUGGAAUAUGCAACAAAUCUUCAAAUUUUGAUGCAUACAGACAACACAAAUCAUAACCAUUGAUAGCAAUCAUUGUUACGGAUUCUUGGUCUUCUUCAGCUAUCAAGUACUUGUCGUGGACGCUUCUCAUUCGAACCGCAUUAGAGUUCUGGAAUAGAUCCAUUGCAGGUGUUCUUGAUAUUAAAUUGAAAGAUUUCUGUGUAAACAAAAAAAUCCCAGAACUAAAUUGAAUGAAUUUAAGGCUGGUUUUUGAUGGGUUUCAUGGAAAAUUGAACUUCCGACCCAGAUUCACAAGAAAUUUCCUGUAAUGGAUGACAGUUAGAGCCAAUCAAGUUCAACUACCUUGUGAC